UACGUAGGGGGCAAGCGUUGUCCGGAAUUAUUGGGCGUAAAGAGCGCGUAGGCGGUCCGAUAAGUCGGCUGUGAAAGUCAGGGGCUCAACCCUUGAAAGCCGGCCGAUACUGUCGGACUAGAGUCCGGAAGAGGCAAGUGGAAUUCCCGGUGUAGCGGUGAAAUGCGCAGAUAUCAGGAGGAACACCAAUUGCGAAGGCAGCUCGCUGGGACGUUACUGACGCUGAGACGCGAAAGCGUGGGGAGCAAACAGG
rnacentral:rRNA from 1 species